AGUGAACGCUGGCGGUAGGCCUAACACAUGCAAGUCGAACGGCAGCACAGUAAGAGCUUGCUCUUACGGGUGGCGAGUGGCGGACGGGUGAGGAAUACAUCGGAAUCUACUUUUUCGUGGGGGAUAACGUAGGGAAACUUACGCUAAUACCGCAUACGACCUACGGGUGAAAGCAGGGGAUCUUCGGACCUUGCGCGAUUGAAUGAGCCGAUGUCGGAUUAGCUAGUUGGCGGGGUAAAGGCCCACCAAGGCGACGAUCCGUAGCUGGUCUGAGAGGAUGAUCAGCCACACUGGAACUGAGACACGGUCCAGACUCCUACGGGAGGCAGCAGUGGGGAAUAUUGGACAAUGGGCGCAAGCCUGAUCCAGCCAUACCGCGUGGGUGAAGAAGGCCUUCGGGUUGUAAAGCCCUUUUGUUUGGAAAGAAAAGCAGCAGGUUGAUACCCCGCUGUUCUGACGGUACCCAAAGAAUAAGCACCGGCUAACUUCGUG
rnacentral:rRNA from 1 species